rnacentral:rRNA from 1 species
ACGAACGCUGGCGGCAUGCCUAAGACAUGCAAGUCGAACGGUAGAGGGGCAACCCUUGAGAGUGGCGAACGGGUGAGUAAUGCAUCGGAACGUGCCCAGUCGUGGGGGAUAACGCAGCGAAAGCUGUGCUAAUACCGCAUGUGAUCUGUGGAUGAAAGCAGGGGACCGCAAGGCCUUGUGCGAUUGGAGCGGCCGAUGUCAGAUUAGCUAGUUGGUAGGGUAAAAGCCUACCAAGGCGACGAUCUGUAGCUG